rnacentral:rRNA from 1 species
GCGAAAGCGUGGGGAGCGAACGGGAUUAGAUACCCCGGUAGUCCACGCCCUAAACGAUGCAGACUAGAUUGCAGCGGGUUACACCCCGUUGCGGUCGGAGCGAAAUUGUUAAGUCUGCCACCUGGGAAGUACGGUCGCAAGGCUAAAACUCAAAGGAAUUGACGGGGGCUCACACAAGCGGUGGAGCAUGUGGCUCAAUUCGAAGCAACGCGAAGAACCUUAUCCUGGACUUGACAUGGUAGAAGUAAGAAGCGGAAACGCUUAUGACCGGUAUCCAAUCCGGAACUAUCACAGGUGCUGCAUGGCUGUCGUCAGCUCGUGCUGUGAAGUGUCGGGUUAAGUCCCAUAACGAGCGAAACCCCUAUCGUUAGUUGCCAGCGAGUAAAGUCGGGCACUCUAACGAGACUGCCGGUGUUAAACCGGAGGAAGGCGGGGAUGACGUCAAGUCCUCAUGGCCUUUAUGUCCAGGGCUGCACACGUGCUACAAUGCCGAUGACAAACCGAAGCAAGACCGUAAGGUGGAGCAAAUCGGAGAAAAAUCGGCCCAGUUCAGAUUGAGGGCUGCAACUCGCCCUCAUGAAGUUGGAAUCGCUAGUAAUCGCGGAUCAGCUACGCCGCGGUGAAUGUGUUCCUGAGCCUUGUACACACCGCCCGUCAAGUCAUGGGAGCCGAAAAUAGCCGAAGCCGUCACAAUACAGUGGUGUCGACGCUAGGUUCGGUGACUGGGACUAAGUCGUAACAAGGUAGCCGUAGGGGAACCUGCGGCUG